rnacentral:rRNA from 1 species
GAUUGAACGCUGGCGGCAGGCCUAACACAUGCAAGUCGAACGGUAACAGGAAACAGCUUGCUGUUUCGCUGACGAGUGGCGGACGGGUGAGUAAUGUCUGGGAAACUGCCUGAUGGAGGGGGAUAACUACUGGAAACGGUAGCUAAUACCGCAUAACGUCGCAAGACCAAAGAGGGGGACCUUCGGGCCUCUUGCCAUCGGAUGUGCCCAGAUGGGAUUAGCUAGUAGGUGGGGUAACGGCUCACCUAGGCGACGAUCCCUAGCUGGUCUGAGAGGAUGACCAGCCACACUGGAACUGAGACACGGUCCAGACUCCUACGGGAGGCAGCAGUGGGGAAUAUUGCACAAUGGGCGCAAGCCUGAUGCAGCCAUGCCGCGUGUAUGAAGAAGGCCUUCGGGUUGUAAAGUACUUUCAGCGGGGAGGAAGGGAGUAAAGUUAAUACCUUUGCUCAUUGACGUUACCCGCAGAAGAAGCACCGGCUA